GGCUGAGAGCAUGUACCAGAUCAAGCAUGAGGAGCUGCAGACGCUGGCUGGGAAGCACAGGGAUGACCCGCCCCUCGCCCUCAGCCCACCCGUAGGGGAGUUUACUGCCUGGGGUACCCCUCUUGCCCAUGCCCCCAGCUACAAAACAAUUCAAUUUUUUUUUUUUUUUUCAAAAUAAAACCUCAGCUGGCUCUGAAAAAAAAA
rnacentral:lncRNA from 10 species